AAGGAGUAAACAAAGUAUUUUCUGCAUUGUGACUCAGUGGUGAAUUAAUAAAAUAAGUAAUAUUUACAUUGUAUAAAUAGUUUAGUACCCAUAAUCUGGUCAUGUCAAUUUAGGAGGCAAGCCACACACCUAAAAAUAGGGUAUUUCAAGUUAACAUUUAGGAUAAAAAUGAAUGAUCAUCAAAUGAACAGAAUAGAAACAACAGAAUUGUCUUGAAUUACAGUAAAGGCCUUAUUAACUCUAACAGUUUGUCCAAACUGUGCACAGAAUGGUGUAAAAUGUGGGGAUAACAGGAAACCUCAGCUUUCACAAUGUUGCUGGCAUCUACAAAUGUACAGUUUUGUGCAAGUACACAUUCUAAAAAGUUAUUUGUUCAGACAUAUGGAUAUAUGAUGCUUAUUUCAACACUACGCAUUGUCAGCAUGCAAAAUGUGAACUAAAUCAACCUAAGUUUAUACAAAACACUGACAUUUUACUGUGAAAUAAGUUAUGCAAAAAAAUCUGAAAUGCACUUAAUGCAUGUCAAUCUUCUGUUGAUUCUAUUGAUCUUUCUCCACAGGAAGCUCUGUUUCCUCAUUCUGUAACUCAAGAUCAAAUUAGUUUUGUAUUACAAGAGCUGCAACCAUGGAUAUGUUAACUAUCAUUAUCCUGAUGGUUCUUUUGAGAAAAUGUCAUGGUAGGUAAUAAUUUUUUCCAAAGUACAUCUUACAACUAAUAAUAUUGGUUGUGUCAAAAACAUUAUUAACUUCAGAAAACAUUUUUGUCAAAGGGAACACUUAUCUACACUUCCAAGAAGAAGAAGAAGAAGAAGGAGAAAUAACAAUACCAUUCCAGUGUGAACAGGGACUUUGGCAAAUUGACAUAAACAACGACAACAUAGUGGAUUAUAACUGCAGUAUUACCAAGGAAAAUAUGUGGAAAGAAUGUGAACUUAAGGACUUUAAGUUGGUUAAAAAGACAGAAGAAAAUGUAUUUCUGUUGGAAACAGACAGCAGCGCAAUCUUGGGAUGUGUUCACAAUCACACUUCAAUAUCUAUAUUUCCCUUUAUUUUGUCAAGAGACCAGGUGGAUUCCUUUAUCGUGGCAUUUACUAAACCAGAGAUGGUGAGUGGUGGGCCUGAUGUGGAAACAAAAACCAUUGUCACCAAGCGCCAAGAAGAAACAGUCGAUCUUAUAUGUAAUUUCAAAUUAACUGAUCAAUAUUCUAAAGGUUACAUUUGUGUGUACUGGAUUAAGAUCACAAAUGAAAGAAGUACAUGUAUUUAUUCAUUUUCUUUGGGCGAUUAUGGAGAACAAGAAUAUUACCGUCACUGUCCAGUUGAUGAAUCCCUGCAUAAAAGAAUGUCAAAUACUUCAUCUGCAAACAAAGAAAAUCAUUGUCUUAAAAUCAACCAAGUGACACAUUCAGACAGUGGACAGUAUGUGUGUGCCUUAUAUGUACAGGAAAAUGAGAACAAAUGGUAUGGAAAAGUGAUCUCUAAUAUCACGGUCACUGUAAAAGACAACAGCACCUCCACAAACCAGUCACAUGGUGAGUUACAGUCCACUUUCAACACUAAUGCAACAAAUGAUCAUGCUUAAGUAAUACUCUGUUGAUGUUGAUUCUAUAAGUUUUGUGUUUUAGAUAAGAAUAACCUCAUCAUACUGUAUGUAGUGAGAGCUCUAUUGCUCUUCUGCCUCUUUGCUACUGUCAUUGUCAUGAGGAAAAAGACCAAGAAAUCCCAAGGUAUGUAAAAAUUGACAUUUUGAUUCUAUAUUGUUCUCAUCAUCAUGGUCAAUGUUAUUUACAUGGGCGUUAUAAUUUCCCCUCCAGCAGAAAAUCAAAGUCUGGGAAUGAACAGGUAUUUACUAAUUUGACAGAACACUAGCUAUUUAUAUAUUAUGGGGUAAACUACUGAUGUAAAUAUCCUACUUUGUUGUCUAAUUGCAGAAACCAAGAUAGAGAGGAGACACUUGACUGUGAGUUGGCAUAUUCAUUCCAGUAUGGAGAGUUUUCCACCAUCUAAUCACACUGCUUUUUUUUUAAAGGGGAAUAUCGCAACAUUAACUUGAAACAUUAACUACAGAUAAUUCCUCAUCAUUUCGGCCUGUAAUUAUGCUAGUAGUAAAUAAAAAAUAUGACGUAUUGCCCUUUAAUGUCAUUUAUUUUUAAAGCUUUUUGUACUCAACAAAACAGGACAAAGCAUGGUCACGAGAUGGCGCUAUUGGUCAGACGAAUAUUCAAUUAGACGAAGAUCCCAUGCUGAUCGAAUUGUUGUCUGCUGUGCGUUAGUGUAUAUUAUUUUAUUUUGCUAUUGCUCAGUCCUACAGUUGUGUUUACAUUCUGAUAUUGAAUGAACAUUGCUUUAAUAAAAGGCUAUAGUAAAAAUUCGAUUGACAAUUCCUCUUCACUUGCAUAGAAAUCAGUAUAUAGUGGCUGCUAUGAAUUAAGAACAUAUGAUGUGCUUCUAUGCAGAAAUGUUUAGGGUCUUAGGAAUGCCUGAAGCCCUUCCCUCAUCUGUCUGUCUCACUGUCUCGCGUUCUCUCAAAGUUUGUAAACAUGGCGGUUAGCUAACUGGUUGUGUCUAUAGCAAAGCCAUGGGAAUCAUGCUGCUAGCUAGCUAAAUCCGCAGUUUAUCACCGCAGUUUGAUCACAGGUGAAGUGAGGGGAAUAGCUUAACAUAUUUUAGGUUUUGGAGUUUCCUCCAAAAAGUUCGUGGAAUGGACCCACGUUCUGUAGCCAGGCGUUUGCACAGUUGUAUCUGCAAGUAGCUUGCUAGCUUUCGUGCCUUCUCGCAAACUACAGUAACUUGUUUGCUCUGAAGUAGCUCGCGCAGAGAACCAGCUUGCAGCUAGCUUGCCAGCACAGUCAGCAGCUGUGUAUGUUUUGACGGAAUUUGAACAUGCUCCAAAUGGGGAAAUGUAUCGAGGAAAAUGGACUGUAUUGUUGACUAAAUAUUUUCAAAAGAUUUUUCUGUCGUGCUACACUUGUCAGGGAGCAAGCAUAACUUAUAUAUACACUGCAUAGAUUACGUUAGCUAGCUAUCUAUUUUGGAAACAUCCUGUCAUCAUCUUUCAAUGUAGUUA
ensembl:lncRNA